UUGUCAAGUCAAAGACGUAUCAUUUCCAAAUUUUGUUUCAUUGUCAUUGAUGAUUUCAAUUUAAUAACAAUUAUCUUUUUUUGUUCUGAUUCAAAACUUUUAUCAAGAUGUAUUUUAAAUUGUGUAUCCUUUUGGUUGCUAUCUUAGCAGUCACUAACGUGGAAGCCUCACAUGGCUACGACUUUGGCGAUUUUUUAGCUACAGUUUUAGGGAUUGGAAUUGCUGUUGUAGGCAUCCUCGCAUGUUUAGGAAACUACGCAAGACAGAAAGCGAGGAAUGAAUUCAUUUAACCAAAAUGUAGGUUGUCGAAGUAAGAAUAAAUCUCCAGGAUGCUAUCUUUAUGUUGAUUAAGAGAAUCUUUAAAGUUAAGGAACAAAGACACUAUAUUAAGAUUAUAAACAAGUUUUUUUUUUCUAUGUAUUAUUCACUCACUUAGUAUUAUUUUGUUUUCAUUUAUAUAAGAAUCUUAUAUUUGUGUGUUAAAAAUACAUUUGGUUUAUAACAUAUACAUUAUUUCUAUAGAACACUUUUGUUUGGAAAAUUGAUUUCACAUGUAGUUGGGUUUUUGAUUGUAAUACAUUAUACAUAUACAUUUGAAUUGAAA